AUACUUACCCGGCAGGGGAGAUAUCAUGAUCACAAAGAUAGUUUCCCCAGGGAGAGGCUCACCCAUUGCACUACGGAUAUGCUGACUCCUGCAAUUUCCCCAAAUGUGAGAAACUUGACUGUAUAAUUUGUAGUAGUGGGGGACUGUGUUAGCACUCUCCCCUA